rfam:Myotis davidii contig22311, whole genome shotgun sequence.
GUGCUCGCUUUGGCAGCACAUAUACUAAAAUUGGAAUGAUACAGAGAAGAUUUGCAUGGCCCCUGUGGAAGGGUGACACGCAAAUUUGUGAAGCGUUCCAUAUUUAA